rnacentral:rRNA from 1 species
UACGUAGGGGGCAAGCGUUGUCCGGAAUUAUUGGGCGUAAAGCGCGCGCAGGCGGUCAUUUAAGUCUGGUGUAUAAACCAAGGGCUCAACCUUUGGACGCAUUGGAAACUGGGUGACUGGAGUGUAGGAGAGGAAGGUGGAAUUCCACGUGUAGCGGUGAAAUGCGUAGAUAUGUGGAGGAACACCAGUGGCGAAGGCGACUUUCUGGCCUAUAACUGACGCUGAGGCGCGAAAGCGUGGGGAGCAAACAGG